rnacentral:misc_RNA from 1 species
GGGGAUGGCGAUCGUCCGCUCUUGUUUUGCUCAAACCGGUCGAAUCCGCGCUCGAGCAAGGCGUUUUUCCCGCAAAACGAGCGGUUGCUCGCGUUUCGGGGUGACGUGCGGCUCAUAAAAGGUUAUCAGUUGUCAAUUGUCAACAAUUGACUUUAACGGUAAAACGGAUGGAAGGCAUCGAUUUGCGAAUGCCUGACCAGGAGCAAAUGCCAUGGCCGAGCCUC